AUGCACGCUGGCGGCGUGCUUAACACCUGCCAGUCGCACGGAAAGGCUCCUGCUUGCAGGGGUACUCGAGUGGCGAACGGGUGAGUAACACGUGGGUGAUCUGCCCUGCACUUCGGGAUAAGCCUGGGAAACUGGGUCUAAUACCGGAUAGGACGAUGGUUUGGAUGCCAUUGUGGAAAGUUUUUCGGUGUGGGAUGAGCUCGCGGCCUAUCAGCUUGUUGGUGGGGUAAUGGCCUACCAAGGCGUCGACGGGUAGCCGGCCUGAGAGGGUGUACGGCCACAUUGGGACUGAGAUACGGCCCAGACUCCUACGGGAGGCAGCAGUGGGGAAUAUUGCACAAUGGGCGCAAGCCGGAUGCAGCGACGCCGCGUGGGGGAUGACGGCCUUCGGGUUGUAAACUCCUUUCGCUAGGGACGAAGCGCAAGUGACGGUACCUGGAGAAGAAGCACCGGCUAACUACGU
rnacentral:rRNA from 1 species